AACGAACGCUGGCGGCAGGCCUAACACAUGCAAGUCGAGCGCCCCGCAAGGGGAGCGGCGGACGGGUGAGUAACGCGUGGGAAUAUGCCCUUUGCUACGGAAUAGUCUCGGGAAACUGGGGGUAAUACCGUAUACGCCCUUUGGGGGAAAGAUUUAUCGGCGAAGGAUUAGCCCGCGUUGGAUUAGGUAGUUGGUGGGGUAAUGGCAUACCAGGCCGACGAUCCAUAGCUGGUUUGAGAGGAUGAUCAGCCACACUGGGACUGAGACACGGACCAGACUCCUACGGGAGGCAGCAGUGGGGAAUCUUAGACAAUGGGGGCAACCCUGAUCUAGCCAUGCCGCGUGAGUGAUGAAGGCCUUAGGGUUGUAAAGCUCUUUCAGCUGGGAAGAUAAUGACGGUACCAGCAGAAGAAGCCCCGGCUAACUCCGUG
rnacentral:rRNA from 1 species